AGUAGUCUAAGGCUAAAUAUAUGAUUUGUUUUUUUUAACAUUUACAUCUCCUUCAAAGGGAACAUAUAAUUGGGAAUUUGAGAAACUAAAAGUUUAGAAUGUGAGAAUGUUCCCUCUAAAUACAGAACUAAAGCUUAAAAAAGAAUCUGCCUAGAAAUUCUGUAAUGUUACCAUCUUAUACAUAUUAACUAACUAUAGUAUAUAUAAAAUAUACUGUGUAUAAUAAUAUACUUUAUAUUGUCAGGCUGGCCCCUUGUCAGGUAACUGACAGCACCCUAUUACAGCAAAAAAGAAGAUGGGGACAUGCUGGGGACUUCAGAGCUAUAGAUCUUCGCUCCCAAAAGGCAGCUGUGGGCCAAAAUAUAAGAGACCAACGGUGACUACCUACACAACUCCAGCUGAAAACGUGCAUUAUGUUGUUGAGCGGCUGUACAUCCAAAAAAAACCAUGCUUUUUUGCCUAUGUUGUUUCCAAAUACUGUCUGGAACUUAAGAAAUUAUUUUAUAAAGGUUCUCCUAAUAUUUUUUGACAUAUAACAUAUCUGGAAAAUUUUAUGUAGUAUAAGAUGCAUCAGGAAAAAAGCAGGUGUAUUGUUGUUUUAUGGCUGUGCUACAGAAACUUUAGAAAUAUACAGACUUUAGAACAUAUGUUGCACUAUAAACAAGGUUUUUAUGUACAACAAUAUAAAAGAAACGAGAAACCAAACACAUUAGAAUACCCAAAAUAAGAUCAAAACAUAUUUUAUGCCACAAAAUAUAAACAUAUAUGUAAAUAUAUUUAUGUAAUAUAAAAAUAUGAAACAACAACAAAACAACAAAUACAAAACAUGCAACAAGUCUCGCUAAUAAAAUGUAGAAAUAAUGGAAAUGAAGUAUUAUGCAGGCACAACUUAAUGGAUUGACUUUUUUUACCGUAGAAAAUAGCUGGAGUUGGAGUAGCUUCUGAAAGGGAUAUCAACAUAAACAUAUUAGUGCAA